rnacentral:misc_RNA from 1 species
GUUUCUUGUCAAUUUCAGCCUAUCAUUAUUCAGGAUGCAUUCAAAUAUCUUUUUAUUCGAAUAUUUGUUAAGUGUAGAAUGAAUUACGUAAGAUUAAUCUUUCAAAGAAAAAAUUUCUUUUUUUGUGAUUAUUUUAUGUCAUGAAAAACAGAGAACCUGCAUCUCCCUAGAGGCAACCAAUAUGAAAAAUUAAAUAUGCAGAAAAGAAU